GGAAUAUUGCACAAUGGGCGAAAGCCUGAUGCAGCGACGCCGCGUGAGGGAUGAAGGCCUUCGGGUUGUAAACCUCUUUCAGUAGGGAAGAAGCGAAAGUGACGGUACCUGCAGAAGAAGCGCCGGCUAACUACGUGCCAGCAGCCGCGGUAAUACGUAGGGCGCAAGCGUUGUCCGGAAUUAUUGGGCGUAAAGAGCUCGUAGGCGGUUUGUCGCGUCUGGUGUGAAAACUCAAGGCUCAACCUUGAGCUUGCAUCGGGUACGGGCAGACUAGAGUGUGGUAGUGGUGACUGGAAUUCCUGGUGUAGCGGUGGAAUGCGCAGAUAUCAGGAGGAACACCGAUGGCGAAGGCAGGUCACUGGGCCACUACUGACGCUGAGGAGCGAAAGCAUGGGGAGCGAACAGGAUUAGAUACCCUAG
rnacentral:rRNA from 1 species